AAGACAAGUGGAGCAGGCCAACAGCAUAGUGGAAGCCAAGGGGAGCAGGCCGUCUCUAGCAAUUUUCAAGCACAAGGUAGCUACAAAUAAACGAUGAACAGAGCAAAGCUAGUAGUCCAGUGUACUGAGACAUUGUAGCAAACACAAUGGCGUGCCUCCAAAUAUGUGAUUUUUUAUAUUAAUGAACUACUGCUGUUUCUUUCAUCAAACUAGUACUGAAGAAUUUCCUCUCUUACCGAGUGUUGGGAAACAAAACCAGAGACGGUGUUGUUUGCCAGCGCAUGUGCAGCACAAUGACCUCGCCCGAGAAGUAGCAUAGGAUCCAGCAAUUUCUGUCGGGGGACCGAGCUUGUGGGUGAAGACAACAGGAGGGAGCGGCAGUGUAGGGGUGGAGGAGCGGGAAGGUCAAGUUCGAGGCAGCGAGAGGAGCACGUCGAAGAGACGUGGGGGCUGGGAGGAAUGACAAAAGGAGGGAGGCCUGAUGCGCUGACCGAAGAUGAGAUGAGAGCGGAGAUGUGUCGCGGACUCGAGGGCGGUGCUAGUCUCGCCGGACCAGAGACGCGACGGUGGCGGGUGGGGAUCGGAGGCGCCGGGGCUGNN
rnacentral:lncRNA from 1 species